GUGGGGAAUAUUGGACAAUGGGCGAAAGCCUGAUCCAGCCAUACCGCGUGUGUGAAGAAGGUCUUCGGAUUGUAAAGCACUUUAAGUUGGGAGGAAGGGCAGUAAGUUAAUACCUUGCUGUUUUGACGUUACCGACAGAAUAAGCACCGGCUAACUUCGUGCCAGCAGCCGCGGUAAUACGACGGGUGCAAGCGUUAAUCGGAAUUACUGGGCGUAAAGCGCGCGUAGGUGGUUUUGUAAGUUGGAGGUGAAAUCCCCGGGCUCAACCUGGGAACUGCAUCCAAAACUGGAUGACUAGAGUACGGUAGAGGGUAGUGGAAUUUCCUGUGUAGCGGUGAAAUGCGUAGAUAUAGGAAGGAACACCAGUGGCGAAGGCGACUACCUGGACUGAUACUGACACUGAGGUGCGAAAGCGUGGGGAGCAAACAGGAUUAGAUACCCGUGUAGUCC
rnacentral:rRNA from 1 species